rnacentral:rRNA from 1 species
CCUACGGGGAGCUGCAGUGGGGAAUAUUGGACAAUGGGCGAAAGCCUGAUCCAGCCAUGCCGCGUGUGUGAAGAAGGCCUUCGGGUUGUAAAGCACUUUCAGUGGGGAAGAAAGCCUUGGGGCUAAUACCCUCGAGGAAGGACAUCACCCACAGAAGAAGCACCGGCUAACUCCGUGCCAGCAGCCGCGGUAAUACGGAGGGUGCGAGCGUUAAUCGGAAUUACUGGGCGUAAAGCGCGCGUAGGCGGUCUGAUAAGCCGGUUGUGAAAGCCCCGGGCUCAACCUGGGAACGGCAUCCGGAACUGUCAGGCUAGAGUGCAGGAGAGGAAGGUAGAAUUCCCGGUGUAGCAGUGAAAUGCGUAGAGAUCGGGAGGAAUACCAGUGGCGAAGGCGGCCUUCUGGACUGACACUGACGCUGAGGUGCGAAAGCGUGGGUAGCAAACAGGAUUAGAUACCCCGGUAGUC